UCCCUGGUGGCUCAGACGGUAAAGCGUCUGCCUACAAUGCGGGAUACCCGGGUUCAAUCCCUGGGUCGGGAA
rnacentral:tRNA from 1 species